ensembl:lncRNA
UGGUCCAUCUCAUUUCCGCACACAUCGCUUGCAGAAGUCUCUCUUCUUCAGAAGAAGACUGACUGCGCCAGCCAAUCAAAGUCGUAUCCCCCUCUGACACAUAGAGGGGAGCCUCAUUCAAUGACUGUGGUAACUGAGGAACCCUGCAGAAAUAUGCAGGAGGAAUGGACGAUCUCACUGCACAACAUGAUUCAAAGAGACGUCACACCGAGCCAACUGCACUGCGGGGGGGAAUGAAGCAGAGCCCCAGGUGAACUGAUGCACUUCAGGUAGAAGACACAGGACAGAGCACAGGGGAAAAGGACGAAGACCCUCUUUCUAAAUAAAGUUUGAGUGGUGGUAACGGUGGCAGUGACACAGAGAUUUCUCCGGGGCAGACGGCAUUGAGGUGGAGGCCUCUGUCUUAGCUGGAGGUGGGAGCACGAGGACCCUCUGGAGGUGAAGGCAUGGCGGGAGCAGCUCUCCUCAGCUUGCGACGCACUCUGCGACUCUGGACUGGAGGCUUCUCUGGAGCAGCCAGCAGCAAUACGGUCAGAAAGUAGUUUAGCUCUGCACACAUCCACCGUAGCCACCCCGCAUAGCCAGC